rnacentral:rRNA from 1 species
AUUGAACGCUGGCGGCAGGCUUAACACAUGCAAGUCGAGCGGAGAUGAGGUGCUUGCACCUUAUCUUAGCGGCGGACGGGUGAGUAAUGCUUAGGAAUCUGCCUAUUAGUGGGGGACAACAUUCCGAAAGGAAUGCUAAUACCGCAUACGUCCUACGGGAGAAAGCAGGGGAUCUUCGGACCUUGCGCUAAUAGAUGAGCCUAAGUCGGAUUAGCUAGUUGGUGGGGUAAAGGCCUACCAAGGCGACGAUCUGUAGCGGGUCUGAGAGGAUGAUCCGCCACACUGGGACUGGGACACGGCCCAGACUCCUACGGGAGGCAGCAGUGGGGAAUAUUGGACAAUGGGCGGAAGCCUGAUCCAGCCAUGCCGCGUGUGUGAAGAAGGCCUUUUGGUUGUAAAGCACUUUAAGCGAGGAGGAAGCUACUUAGAUUAAUACUCUAGGAUAGUGGACGUUACUCGCAGAAUAAGCACCGGCUAACUCUGUGCCAGCCGCCGCGGUAAAAC